rnacentral:lncRNA from 1 species
AAAGAUGUCAUUACAAGUUCCAAAUCCAAAAAUUACCAUACUACCAUACUAGUACAUCCUGGUCAUUAGCAUAACAUGGUGCAGACAUGAGAUGGCUUUUGAUAAAGUUUGUCAACCAUUACAAAAGAUGGCAAUUCUAGUCACAUUGUCAAACAAGUGUAAAAAUCACAAUAAAAACUACUAUUAAGUCUUUCUAGGUGGCUUGAAUCCUGGGAUGACCUUUUUCCUUGCAGUUGCUUUGGUAUGUUUCUUUGGAGCAGAUGUUGAAGCAUUGUCAUUUCCUUGAUCACCCAUUUGUCCUUGUUCUUCUGCUCUCCUAGUUGGUGUUGUUGAGGGAGGAGCUUUUCCUACCUUACAAGUUCUAGAAUUAUGCCCUUCCUUGUUGCAAUUCUUGCAAGUGACUUUAGUCUUCCCAACCUCUAUUUGUCUACCUUCUGCUUGUGCCUUUUUCACCUCAUCACUUUAUAGUAAAAUUAUCAGGGUCUGUCAAAUACCACAAAUAAGUACAUUUUUAAUUAACCAUAUUUUUACCCAUAAAAUUAAAGCUUAUAAUAUGCACGUAAUCAACUAUAUGAAGCUCAAGAAACCCUAAAAACUAUAGACAACCUCUAUCACUGUCAAAAACCCUAAAUAUUAUACCAAACAACAAUAUCAGUUAUGAAAAUUACUCGAUCAUACUUGAGCAGACAGAUAUGAAAUACAACAAUAACAUCGAUAACAAUCAAACCCCCAAAAAUUUAUACAUAAUUUCCAAUCAUUUUUCUACAUGCAGUUGGAGAGUUCGAGUUUAGUACCUAUAUAAGCGGGCGCUUCAAGUGGCUGGUAAAUAUUGUGAUCUUCCUUCAGUCUCUUGUACCAACUCAUCUUCAAUGAUCUUCGAUAGCUGUGAAUGAUUGCGGUGUGUGGCGUUGGGAGGAAGAUGAAAUGAAAGUGGAGGGAAGUGUAAUAACAACUAAAGUAAUAGAAAUAUUAAACGGCGUUAGUCGUGAACUAACGGGACUCAAGCAUAGCCACUCAUCUGUGUCAAUAUAAAACAAUUAGUCAUUCAUGUGGCUAAUAUAAUAAUUUAACCAACAUUGUGCAAUUAUAAAAUAUUUUAGACACACAUUUUGCAAUUAAGUCAAUGUUUUAUGUGUUUAUUCUAUGAGUAACUUGUUAUAAUAUUUAGAGAAAUGAGGAUUCUUAUCAUUCAGUAUUUGCUCUUAAUAUCAACUAAACAUGAACAUAAUAUUGGCUCUUAAUAUCGAUUAAAAAUUAAAAUACUUGCGUAAAAUUUGUCGAAUUUAUAAGAAAUGGUGUUUGAGUGAGAAAUUGUGUUUGAGUGAGAUUGGUUGUAUUGGCUGAUUUUAUUUAAAAAGUGUUUUUUAUAUUUUAAAUGUUUAUAAAUAAAAUAUACUGUUGUAAUAUGAUAAUAUAUAAUUGAUAAUGUUCAAUUUUGCUACCUCGUAGAGAUUUACCAAUGUUCAAUUUGAAUGAUAUGCUUCGGAAGAGCAUGAUACAAAUUAAGCUUUAUACAUAGUAUUGAUGGCCACUUAUCUGUCUUUCAAAUUUGAACAAACUUCAUUGUUAUAUGGAGAGAAUUA